GCCAGGCUGUCGCGUUUUAAUUAACGAGGAAAGUCCGGGCAACAUAGAGCAGCACACUUUCUAACAGAAAGGAUUCGCGAGAGUCAGAAAGUGCCACAGAAAAUAACCGCCUUAUAUUAAGGUAAGGGUGAAAAUGUGAGGUAAGAGCUCACGGAAUGCUUAGGUGACUAAACAUUGGGGUAAACCUUGUGCGUUGAAAGACCAAAUAUACCAGUAUGCCUUUGGCUUAUGGCGGCUCGUCAAAAACUGGGGGGUAGGUUGAUUGACUUAUUUGGCAACAAGUAAGCUAGAUAAAUGACAGCACACUUCAUGUGAACAGAACCCGGCUUAUGGCUAG
rnacentral:RNase_P_RNA from 1 species